rnacentral:lncRNA from 1 species
AAAUUAUUAAAACAAGGAAGAAAAAAAUAGAAAAUUGCAAGAAAUAAAAAUGCGAUAAAAAUAAAGAAAUAUGCAAGAAAAUAAAUAAAUACUCCCAAGCUUGAACCAAACAAUGUCCUCAAUGUUUAAGCUCGAGAAAGAGAAGGUAGAACUCCUAAGAACCUCAUUUUGGAGGUGGGAACCGCAACAUAAGUUGUUGCAUCGUAGCUUGGACGUCAUCCAAGACCGCUCCUUACCUAUUUUGCUUUAUCUACAUCCCUAAGAUCUUCGAUUGGAC